rnacentral:rRNA from 1 species
CCUACGGGAGGCAGCAGUAGGGAAUCUUUCACAAUGGGCGAAAGCCUGAUGGAGCAACGCCGCGUGCAGGAUGAAGGCCUUCGGGUUGUAAACUGCUUUUAUAAGCGAGAAAUAUGAUGGUAACUUAUGAAUAAGGAUCGGCUAACUACGUGCCAGCAGCCGCGGUCAUACGUAGGAUCCGAGCAUUAUCCGGAGUGACUGGGUGUAAAGAGUUGCGUAGGUGGCAUAAUAAGUAGCUAGUGAAAUCUGGUGGCUCAACCAUUCAGACGAUUAGCUAAACUGUUAAGCUCGAGACCGUUAGGGGCAACUGGAAUUUCUAGUGUAGGAGUGAAAUCCGUAGAUAUUAGAAGGAACACCAAUAGCGUAGGCAGGUUGCUGGGACGGUUCUGACACUAAGGCACGAAAGCGUAGGGAGCAAACGGGAUUAGAUACCCCAGUAGUC